rnacentral:rRNA from 1 species
GACAGAGGAUGCAAGCGUUAUCCGGAAUGAUUGGGCGUAAAGCGUCUGUAGGUGGCUUUUUAAGUCCGCCGUCAAAUCCCAGGGCUCAACCCUGACAGGCGGUGGAAACUACCAAGCUGGAGUACGGUAGGGGCAGAGGGAAUUUCCGGUGGAGCAGGUGAAAUGCGUAGAUAUCAGGAGGAACACCGGUGGCGAAGGCGGGUCUCUGGGCCGAUACUGACGCUGAGGAGCGAAAGCGUGGGG